GACGAACCGUGCGAACGUUGUUCGGAAUCACUGGGCUUAAAGGGCGCGUAGGCGGGCGGCCGCGUCCGGGGUGAAAUCCCACGGCUCAACCGUGGAACGGCCUCGGAUACGGGCGGCCUCGAGGGGGGUAGGGGCAUCUGGAACUGUGAGUGGAGCGGUGAAAUGCGUUGAUAUUCACAGGAACUCCGGUGGCGAAGGCGAGGUGCUGGACCCCAUCUGACGCUGAGGUGCGAAAGCGUGGGGAGCAAACAGG
rnacentral:rRNA from 1 species